UCUCUGUUUUAAGUUCAGCUGCACGAAAACUGCAAGUGUGGGGGGGUCGCCCGACCCCCCAACUUCAUCUCUGAACUGCCGUGAGCAUGGAACAACACUGCAUACACCUUGGCACGUCAUGGCACCAAAAACAGGCGCGAUGAGGGGGUCGCCCGACCCCCUUUCUAUGGCAAAAGGAAACGACACAAGUGCAGAAAGACUUCCCGAGGGACGUAGAAUCGAGUGGCAGGGCCAGGAACCUCCACGUGGGGUCGGUCGACCCCUCCAUAGAGCCCUGGGCCCACCAGGAAGCUUCUAUACGACGAAACACAUCUUUCCUGCCCGGUUUGCUAACUCUUCCCCCUCUCAGUCUGUCCAAUUCUUUACCUUUGUGUCACAAUUAAAAUAAAAUUUGAUAGUUUAAACUUGUUUGCAAAAUAAAAAGUGAACUGGUUCAUGAUUUAAGAGAAAUUGUGACAUAAAGUAUAGUUCUUACAAUUGUUCAUCCUCAUGGGUAAAAAUCUAUAGGAACCAUAUUGACUAAGUUGUUGAUGAAAGUGAUAUAACUCUUGGCUAAGAAUUCAUAACAUUUCUAUUCAAGGUACUUAGAGAUUUGUUUCAAAAAUAUCACAAAACCAUAGUAUCAUUUACUCCUCAUUAGCAAGAAAUUCCCACCAAAAGCCAUACACUUAGAUAUUCAAGUAACCAUUUUAUGAAAUGCAACCUGCUUUUGUAAUGAGUUUUGUCAAAACCUUGUUGACCCUAGUGAGAGUUGUAUCAUAGUCACAAGAUCAAGAUCACGUACACACCACAUAUAUAUAUGCUGCUUCUACACUGGAAGUACGCAACCACAUGUAUUGUGCAUCCACUAAAUAGGUUGCUCCAUACUCUAAGUGUUAGAACACCUCUCUAAAUAUUGUUUAGAAAAUGAGACAUAAAAGGCUUGGCAAAAUAAAAGAAAAAGAAAAAAAUGGACAUGUGCAAGUCCAUGAAGUAUUUAAAAAAAAAAUUUGAGCACAUAAAGCUCGAAGAAAAAGAAAAUCUAGCCAUGUCUCAAUAUACAAGUAGAGAGAGUGUAGCAAAUAAAGGAGCAACCUAGUCCACCAUAUAACACACUUGCACAUCUUGAUCUAUGACUAUGACACUCCUCUCUUUGGAUCCUUGUUUUUGACUUAACAAUAUUUGCAAAGUAGUGUAUGCUACCUUGUUUAUCCCUACCAAGCCCCAUAUAAGCCUAUAGUUAUAGGAUGAAACAAGUUGGCAUUCAUGCCUUGGUGAGGACUACUAAAAAAAACUUUGAGUGAUCUAGAGCGCUAAAUGAGGAGUAGGAUUGAACUAUGUGACUUAUUUUAAAAAGUGUCAUAAAAACUCUAAGUACCAAGAAUAUGAAAUUGGAAUUUGAUCUUGUUCUGAGAGUUGUUCCUUUUCUCAACCUCUGAAGGAUAUAUGCUAGACACUUACACAAAAACCCAUUUGGAUGAACUAUGUUCGAACUAGCAUUUUAUGCUCACUACUAUCUUAAGUUAGAAACCAUUGAUCACUCAUUUUUAACCUUUACUCGAGGACGAGCAAAGACUCAAGUGUGGGGGGUCUUGUUGACGGUAUUUAUACCAUGUUUUCUACUAUCAUAACCGUCAACAUAAGACUCAUUUUGGGAGAAAACAACCAAACAAAGUAGUAAUAUAGGUACAUAUAACCUAGUUCCACAUGUACAUGCUACUAUUUGGUUGCAGGAGUAAGAACAGGUACUUUUCAAGGGUCCAAACACUAAGAAGGGGUGAAUAACUAAAGAUCAGUGACACCAGUAACCAAGACAACAUUAUAGUCAUGAAGAGGAAGACAUGUAGGACAGGGCUGACACCCUAACCCCAUAUAAUUGGGGUCGGGCGACCCCACUUUGGUGGGUCCCACAGGUCAGCUCAACUCCACCGACAUCAGAGAGCCUCCAGGACACUGCAGGUGGGCCCAACCAGCCAGAUAGGGGGUCGGCCGACCCCACUUCAUGGCGGUUCCAGGGUCGGUUGGCCUCCCACCGACCUUGCCCACAUGUUGCACAUGUUAGUUUGCCUCUACCGUUGAUCAGAUGGCGGUUGUGAAGUCGGUUUGAUCCAAUGGUGCAUGAUGAAGAUGACGCGGAUCGCUGACGUCGCACCGGAGUAGCCCCUACUCCAUCUCCCACUAUAAAUACCCCCCUAUUCCUUCACUUAAGAGUCAUGUAUCUUAGGAGUAAACUACUUUAGUAGCUUAGUGAUAUCAUAGUGAGUAGAGAGUGAGGAGUUCCAAAGAGGAGUCCCGGCCUGUCGGGAGUCUUCUUCGCGGAGCACC
rnacentral:lncRNA from 1 species